rnacentral:misc_RNA from 1 species
GAUGAAUAACGCAGCGAAAUGCGAUAAGUAAUGUGAAUUGCAGAAUUCAGUGAAUCAUCGAAUCUUUGAACGCACAUUGCGCCCCCUGGUAUUCCGGGGGGCAUGCCUGUUCGAGCGUCAUUUCACCACUCAAGCCUCGCUUGGUAUUGGGCAACGCGGUCCGCCGCGUGCCUCAAAUCGUCCGGCUGGGUCUUCUGUCCCCUAAGCGUUGUGGAAACUAUUCGCUAAAGGGUGUUCGGGAGGCUACGCCGUAAAACAACCCCAUUUCUAAGGUUGACCUCGGAUCAGGUAGGGAUACCCGCUGAACUUAAGCAUAUCAAUAAGCGGAGGA